rnacentral:lncRNA from 1 species
AAUUUCUGACACCCCUUUCAACAAGAUGAGAACCUGCCACUUUGGUUGGAACCAGGCCCUGGGCCUCACUGUGAAGGCUGAACGAGGAUGACCAGAGCCGGGACCUUGGACACACUGGGAAGUGACCGUCCAGCAAUGUGUCAGGCCUGGGGGAAGGAGGAAAGAAAGCAGCCAGGGGAGGCCCUGGGGCAGAAAAGAGAUGGACAUGGAGGCCAUUCAAAGCAGGGGAGAGACUCAAGGCGUGAGAAGACAGGCCUGAGGUUCAAGGUGGAUCUGUUAAGGUCCGUGGUUACAGCCCACUGCCCCAGGUAGGUAAACUGAAAAACAAAACCAUAACAGAGGGAUACUCAGUCUCCACUCUGGUACAUAUUCAUAUUUCUUUUAGACCCUUCUCACAGGAUCCUAGAUAGGGAAAUAACUUCAGACAAAACUUGGAACAAGACUCCUAUCUUCACGUAGCUGCCCAGUAGCACAUAGGUAAGUCACCUGAGACCCAGAGAAGUCAAGAUUGUUUGUCUAAGAAAUCUAAUAACU